AAUUGGAGGGCAAGUCUGGUGCCAGCAGCCGCGGUAAUUCCAGCUCCAAUAGCGUAUAUUAAAGUUGUUGCAGUUAAAAAGCUCGUAGUUGAAUUUCGGGGUUAGUAGGUUGGUCAUGCCUCUGGUAUGUACUGAUCUCACUGAUUCCUCCUUCCUUAUGAACCGUAAUGCCAUUAAUUUGGUGUUGCGGGGAAUUUGGACUGUUACUUUGAAAAAAUUAGAGUGUUUAAAGCAGGCUAACGCUUGAAUACAUUAGCAUGGAAUAAUGAAAUAGGACGUUCGAUCUUAUUUUGUUGGUUUCUAGGAUUGACGUAAUGAUUAAUAGGGAUAGUUGGGGGCAUUAGUAUUCAAUUGUCAGAGGUGAAAUUCUUGGAUUUAUUGAAGACUAACUACUGCGAAAGCAUUUGCCGAGGAUGUUUUCAUUAAUCAAGAACGAAAGUUAGGGGAUCGAAGACGAUCAGAUACCGUCGUAGUCUUAACCAUAAACUAUGCCGACUAGGGAUCGGAUGAUGUUAAUUUUUUAAUGACUCAUUCGGCGCCUUACGGGAAACCAAAGUGU
rnacentral:rRNA from 1 species